GACGAACGCUGGCGCCUUUCCUGACACAUGCAAGUCGAACGAGCGAGAGAGAGCUUGCUUUCUUGAGCGAGUGGCGAACGGGUGAGUAACGCGUGAGGAACCUGCCUCAAAGAGGGGGACAACAGUUGGAAACGACUGCUAAUACCGCAUAAGCCCACGACCCGGCAUCGGGUUGAGGGAAAAGGAGCAAUCCGCUUUGAGAUGGCCUCGCGUCCGAUUAGCUAGUUGGUGAGGUAACGGCCCACCAAGGCAACGAUCGGUAGCCGGACUGAGAGGUUGAACGGCCACAUUGGGACUGAGACACGGCCCAGACUCCUACGGGAGGCAGCAGUGGGGAAUAUUGCACAAUGGGGGAAACCCUGAUGCAGCGACGCCGCGUGGAGGAAGAAGGUCUUCGGAUUGUAAACUCCUGUUGUUGAGGAAGAUAAUGACGGUACUCAACAAGGAAGUGACGGCUAACUACGUGCCAGCAGCCGUGGUAAAACGUAGGUCACAAGCGUUGUCCGGAAUUACUGGGUGUAAAGGGAGCGCAGGCGGGAAGACAAGUUGGAAGUGAAAUCUAUGGGCUCAACCCAUAAACUGCUUUCAAAACUGUUUUUCUUGAGUAGUGCAGAGGUAGGCGGAAUUCCCGGUGUAGCGGUGGAAUGCGUAGAUAUCGGGAGGAACACCAGUGGCGAAGGCGGCCUACUGGGCACCAACUGACGCUGAGGCUCGAAAGUGUGNGUAGCAAACAGG
rnacentral:rRNA from 1 species